rnacentral:lncRNA from 1 species
GUUGUAACACCCCCAAAUCUCUUCCUUUCACUUUUUAGGGUUUUGUUAGUUCUUCUGUACAUUCACAUACAGUUAGUUUGUUGCAUCACAUCUGAAACUUUAUCAAUGGCACCCAAAGCAACUAAGGCCGAGAAGAAGAUCGCUUAUGACUCAAAGAUGUGCCAACUUUUGGAUGAGUACACUCAGGUGCUCGUGGCUGCGGCUGAUAACGUUGGAUCCAAACAGCUUCAGAACAUUAGGAAGGGUUUGAGAGGUGACUCCAUUGUUCUCAUGGGAAAGAACACUAUGAUGAAGAGGACUAUUCGAGUCCACGCUGAAAAAACCGGCAACAACACCAUCCUCAAUCUCAUUCCCCUCCUUGUUGUAAGUCUGUUUUACCAUGUCUAUUUUUGUAUUUUCAUCUUUUGAACAGUCUAAAUUAAUGAUAUCUUAUUUGUUUUGUUGUGUAAAAAGGAAUAGUGCAUCCCUGCUAUUUUAUGUUUUUAUUGUAGUUUGAGUUAAACAUGUUAAUAUAUUAAGAUACUAUAUUUUUAAUAUUCCAAUUAGGUGAAAUGCGUCAAAUAAUCGAUCAUAUGAAGAUCAUGAAACUAUUCCUCUCAUAUGUUCAAUGGAUAUAUUAGUCAUGACUUUAUUUUCCAGAGUAUAGUAUGGUACUCAAAUAACUGAUAUUAACUGAACUGAAUCUUAUUGUCAAUUUUGUAACAGGGUAAUGUGGGAUUGAUCUUCACGAAGGGUGACUUGAAGGAAGUGAGCGAGGAAGUUGCAAAGUACAAGGUAAAUGAAAUAAUUUGCCUAUUCUCUCUUUAUCCUAGUAAUUAUAUACCUGUGCUUUUCAUGUAAUUCAGGUUUAUCUGACUUCAUUGACAUUUAAAAUGAUAAAAUUUGCUUCAAGUCCUUGUAUCUUUAUGUUAUAUUGACAAUCAUUUUAAAGUUCAAGAAAUAGGACACAUGAUGCAUUUCAAGUAUUACUUGUAAUCCAUGUUUGGUGUCAGCUUCUUAUCAGUAACAAUCAGAGUUUAUACACGGUGGUCAUCUUUUCAUUUUUAAUUUCUUGAUCUUUGUCAAGGAACAAUGUAUUUCUACCGUAUUAUAUGCUGUCCCCUUAAUAUUUUAUGUAUUGACUUUUGUCAAUUAAUUCUAGUUAUACAACAUCUAGAUUGAUGAUGAACCAUAGUAGACAUUUUUUACUUAAGGUACUCGAGACUGUUUUCUUUGUCAAAUUGUUAGUCUUUUUUGAAGUAUUGAGGACUAUUGUCUCUUGACUGAUUCUAACUUUAAUUUCUACUAGGUUGUCAUCCAUCCUUAAUCGUGGUAUAUUUUUGUAUGUUAUUAAGUUUGAUCCUUGUUAUAUUUUAUAGGUUGGAGCACCUGCUCGUGUUGGUUUGGUGGCACCAGUUGAUGUUGUUGUUCCUCCUGGCAACACUGGUCUGGAUCCCUCUCAGACAUCUUUCUUUCAGGUGUUUAUCUAUUACCCUACAGUUUCUUGUUUCUCAUUUGUUCUCUGUAUGCUAUUCUUCCUUACAUGACCAUAUCCUUGUACAGGUGCUCAACAUUCCCACCAAGAUUAACAAGGGUACUGUUGAAAUUAUCACCCCUGUGGAGCUCAUCAAGAAGGGUGACAAAGUGGGUUCCUCUGAAGCUGCUCUGCUUGCCAAACUUGGAAUCAGGCCCUUCUCAUAUGGUCUUGUUGUUCUCUCUGUUUAUGACAAUGGAUCUGUCUUCAGUCCUGAGGUUCUUGACCUGACUGAGGAUGAUCUCAUUGAAAAGUUUGCUAUGGGAGUUUCUAUGGUUACCUCCUUGUCAUUGGCCAUUUCUUACCCAACUUUGGCUGCUGCACCACACAUGUUCACCAAUGCCUACA